UAGGAUUAUUGUGUGGAUCUGUGCUGAUU
rnacentral:piRNA from 1 species